rnacentral:rRNA from 1 species
UACGUAGGGGGCGAGCGUUGUCCGGAAUCAUUGGGCGUAAAGCGCGUGUAGGCGGCUCGAUAAGUCCGGUGUGAAACCUUGGGGCUCAACCCCAAGCCUGCACUGGAUACUGCCGAGCUAGAGUCCGGGAGGGGAGAGCGGAAUUCCUAGUGUAGCGGUGAAAUGCGCAGAUAUUAGGAAGAACACCGGUGGCGAAGGCGGCUCUCUGGAACGGUACUGACGCUGAGACGCGAAAGCAUGGGGAGCAAACAGG